AGUCCUUGAAGACGUGGCAUCAUUCUUCAUUUUUUCCAAUAGAUUCUCCUCCUCUUUUUUUGUCACUGACGGUGAUCACUCCAGCUACUACAUAUCGUGCCGCAGCUUCACUGAUCCUUUAACCACCGAUUGACACUCCCCUCCGCCUCUAAGAAACUCCUCUUCCUCAGAAACCCCACUCCCAGCCCCACGUUCGUGCCAUCCGGUGCCAGAAACCUUACUCCGAUCGGUUCAACGGAACCCACGAACCAUGCCUCUUCUGCUUCGUUCAAGCGGCCUCACCUUCAAGCUCCACCCUCUCGUGAUGCUCAACAUCUCCGAUCACUUCACCAGGGUCAAAACUCAGCUCAACCCUCCAUCCGAUCAGCUCAACCAGGGUCAUCGCUUUCUUCCUCUUUAAGGUACUGAUCGAAUCAUAACCAUGGCUAAGAACUCAUUCAAGCUCUCUAAUCCUCUUGGACUAUGUGCCUACUGUGUUUGAUAAUUUCAGCGCCAAUGUGAUUGUGGAUGGAAACAGUAUCAACUUGGGAUUGUGGGAUACUGCAGGCAAGCUACCUUUUCAUUUCAUCAUUCUCUUUCUGAAUAUUUUGCUCUGCAGAGAGAGAGAGAGUGAGUCGUUUGUUUAUUUGUUUUGGACUCUGGAUGAAACAUGACAAGAGGACUACAAUAGACUAAGGCCUUUGAGCUAUCGAGGUUCAGAUGUCUUCUUACUUGCCUUCUCACAUUCAGUUUCGGUUAAGUUGAUGGUGUUUAUGUGAAUAAAUGGUUUAAAUUUGCAGCAAGCUUACUUCAAUUUUGUAAUACUUCAAGUACAGGUGCUUUGACAGAAGCAAUUUUGUAUAUAUUAAGGACUUCAAAUUGAAAUACACCAUUGGAGAUA